rnacentral:rRNA from 1 species
AUAGAGACUCAGAGCUGCAUAUCAAUAAGCGGAGGAAAAGAAACUAACAAGGAUUCCCUUAGUAACGGCGAGUGAAGCAGGAAGAGCUCAAAUUUGAAAUCUUCAAGGUUUUACCUUGACGAGUUGUAGUUUAAAGAAGUGUUUUCUGUUGAAGUUUUGGUAAAAGUUCUUUGGAAUAGGACAUCAUAGAGGGUGAGAAUCCCGUAUUUGACCAGUUAUUUUCCAGCUGUGUGAUACACCUUCAAAGAGUCGGAUUGUUUGGGAAUGCAGUCCAAAAUGGGUGGUAAAUUUCAUCUAAAGCUAAAUACUGGCGAGAGACCGAUAGCGAACAAGUACCGUGAGGGAAAGAUGAAAAGAACUUUGGAAAGAGAGUUAAACAGUACGUGAAAGUUGUCAAAAGGGAAGCGUUUGACACCAGUGUUGUUUUCUCGAAAAUCAAUUAAAAAUGGCUCAUGCAGGUUUGUAUUUGAGACCUUAUAAGCUCACUGUACAUUUGGUUUCGGGUCUCUUUUUGAUGCACUUUUCGGUUAACAAGUCAACAUCAAUUUCCUUUGUUGUAAAAAGGGUCAUUGGAAGGUGGCUUGCGAUUUCGUAUAAAGUGUUUAUAGCCUCUUGCCUCUGCAAGUCGGAAGAGACUGAGGUCUGCAGCGUAGAUCCUUCGGGAUUAGAUUCAUUUGUGCUAAGUUAUAGUCUUUUCAUAGACAACUUGUUGACUAUAAUUUAAUCAUGUAACUUACUCGCUUAUGUAUUUUACCUACGCUUAGGAUGUUGAGUAGCGACAUACGCAC